AGCUCUGCAGCGACUGUUCACCUUGCGGCGUCACUAGUUCCCUUUGUUCCUUUGGUUUGUCAAAAAAUGACAGCAAGGAUGGGAUGGUAAAAAAUAAAAUGCCUCGAAGAGCUCCGUGAUGACCCAAGAAAAUGGGAAAGACCUAAAAGAUAUCAACAUUAGAAGAUUGGGAAUAUGAGAGGCAGUUAUGAUUGCCUGGACCACACCCCCCCCUCCCCCACAACUCAUGAUUGGCCACAGGAUCUAAUGAUGUGGUUAUUUAAGGAGGACAAAACGGGAGGACAGGGGAAAGACAAGUCGGGGCUGUGACCUGUUGCAAGAGAGUUGUGUUUUUAGUAAUGCUAUUCGCUCCGACGGUUCCCACCCCUUAUUCUCUAAUUUUCUUGCUGUCAGGUUCCCGUCUAAGAUGUCCACUUGUCCACUUUCAUCUUUGAACUCGUGGCUACUUUAUUUCUUUUCUUUCUUUAUUUCUUGGUUGGUUAUAUAUUCUAGUCUGUUGACUAUGUGUUGAGGAUGUCAGAGACAUUGACAAAAGGGGUUGGUGAUGUGAUGUAAUGGAUGCUGAUGUUGUUGAUUAUAUUGUGUCAGCUUUGGGAGGUUUGGCGCCUGGUUGGCUCACCUGGUAGAGCAGGCGCCCACAUAUAGAGGUUUACUCCUCGAUG